rnacentral:hammerhead_ribozyme from 1 species
AUCCAACCGAUGAGUCUCAAAUAGAACGGAACGCGCGUCCUGAAU